AGAGUUUGAUCCUGGCUCAGGAUGAACGCUGGCGGCGUGCUUAACACAUGCAAGUCGAGCGAAGCAGUUAAGAAGAUUCUUCGGAUGAAUCUUAACUGACUGAGCGGCGGACGGGUGAGUAACGCGUGGGUGACCUGCCCCAUACCGGGGGAUAACAGCUGGAAACGGCUGCUAAUACCGCAUAAGCGCACAGAGCUGCAUGGCUCGGUGUGAAAAACUCCGGUGGUAUGGGAUGGGCCCGCGUCUGAUUAGGCAGUUGGCGGGGUAACGGCCCACCAAACCGACGAUCAGUAGCCGGCCUGAGAGGGCGACCGGCCACAUUGGGACUGAGACACGGCCCAAACUCCUACGGGAGGCAGCAGUGGGGAAUAUUGCACAAUGGGGGAAACCCUGAUGCAGCGACGCCGCGUGAGUGAAGAAGUAUUUCGGUAUGUAAAGCUCUAUCAGCAGGGAAGAAAAUGACGGUACCUGACUAAGAAGCCCCGGCUAACUACGUGCCAGCAGCCGCGGUAAUACGUAGGGGGCAAGCGUUAUCCGGAUUUACUGGGUGUAAAGGGAGCGUAGACGGCAAGGCAAGUCUGAUGUGAAAACCCAGGGCUUAACCCUGGGACUGCAUUGGAAACUGUCUGGCUCGAGUGCCGGAGAGGUAAGCGGAAUUCCUAGUGUAGCGGUGAAAUGCGUAGAUAUUAGGAAGAACACCAGUGGCGAAGGCGGCUUACUGGACGGUAACUGACGUUGAGGCUCGAAAGCGUGGGGAGCAAACAGGAUUAGAUACCCUGGUAGUCCACGCC
rnacentral:rRNA from 1 species